AGCCUGAUGCAGCAACGCCGCGUGAGGGAUGACGGCCUUCGGGUUGUAAACCUCUUUUAGCAGGGAAGAAGCGAAAGUGACGGUACCUGCAGAAAAAGCGCCGGCUAACUACGUGCCAGCAGCCGCGGUAAUACGUAGGGCGCAAGCGUUAUCCGGAAUUAUUGGGCGUAAAGAGCUCGUAGGCGGUUUGUCGCGUCUGCUGUGAAAUCCGGAGGCUCAACCUCCGGCCUGCAGUGGGUACGGGCAGACUAGAGUGCGGUAGGGGAGAUUGGAAUUCCUGGUGUAGCGGUGGAAUGCGCAGAUAUCAGGAGGAACACCGAUGGCGAAGGCAGAUCUCUGGGCCGUAACUGACGCUGAGGAGCGAAAGGGUGGGGAGCAAACAGGCUUAGAUACCCUGGUAGUCCACCCCGUAAACGUUGGGAACUAGUUGUGGGGUCCAUUCCACGGAUUCCGUGACGCAGCUAACGCAUUAAGUUCCCCGCCUG
rnacentral:rRNA from 1 species